GUUAUGACGCAGACGACACCAAGGACGCUGAACCCGAUUGUUCAUCAGAAAUGUUGCAUGGUACUGCUAUACAAACAUACACGGACAUUUGAAUUAAAACAUUGGAAAUGGCAUAAAAAUGAGCAGUCCAAGCUGAGGCGAAGUAUUUUAUGAGAAGAAGGUCGCUUUUCAACUUCAAAAAUGGGGACGACUUGUCUUGUGAACAGAACAGCCAACGCAACAAGAGGCAGAUAAUUUAUUUUGUGCCAAUCACUCUUCCAACAACUGAAAUUGGUUUGUCAAAUACGUUCGUUGGUGUAUGAUCAGAUCUGCAUUAUAGUAUUAGUAUUAAACAAACUGUAAAGAAAAGAAAAUGAUGUUUUAGAUGCUGUAGAAAAUUUUUGAAGGAUAUGUUUACUGAUUAUGAACAACAGGAUUAUAUCAUCAUGACCAUUGGAAUCUUACAAGGAGAAGUGCAAAUAAAUGAAGGAAUUCAUGUGCAAAAAUUAUAAUAUUGUAAACAGGAGAACAGUCUUAAAUAAUACCAACUGUUAAACAGUUUUGUGAACAAGAGUCCAAGAGCAAGGCAGAGUAAACUUGGAGU